GGGAUGGGGUGCUCUUAUUGGCUAACUAGGAGAUGGGCGGGGUCCUGAGGAGAAGAUCCGUAAGAGCUAUCACCUUAGGGGCGAAUGGAAGUGGAUGGUGUCCAAGCAACAGAUGCCCGCUUCUGUGACUCCAUCCCUCACAGAAAGUCUAUGGGACUCUCUGCCUUGUAUGAGUGAUACUGUUAGAAAGAGGCAAGAAAAUUAAAAGAAAAUGUGGAUGUUUUCCAUAUUUGAGUUGAUGCGGGCUGGAGACAACAGCUGCCAGAGCUGCAAGGCAGAACGCCCUGAGAAGUGGAACCGGAGGAUCCAGGCACCUGUUGAAGGGAUGAAUGAGAGCCGUGGUGUGAGGAUGGGACUCUUUCUGUCUUCCAUUUGGCUGAAGCUCCAAACGCCAGGAGUAACCCAAUGGGUAGCAAGCACCCUUCCCUCCACCUCUGCAGGAACUGCAAAAAGCAAUGGUUCUCUGCAGCCCUGGUUUCACCUCCUGCCUGGCCAGUCCUGGGAGGCAGGGCAUGUGGGAAGUGGCCGUGAACACUUUGGCUUAGGGGCCCAAGCAGGAAGUGGAGCCACAUCUUUUUCUGAUCCUUCUCUUUGGGAUCAAAGGUAAGGUUUGUCAAGGGCAGGGGAGCACUGGUGCCAGGUGAAUGUGGAGGUAGUACUGGCAGCCCUCCAGCCCUGCUCACAAUCCAGGACCAGGGUACAGAAGCUGAUCCUUAAUGUGUGCUCUUGGGGGUGGAUACGUAACCAAAACCUGGUCAAGCAAGGUCACCUUGAUGGGCUCAGAGAUGGCAUUUGACUCAAUAUGGGGUAAUGUAAGUCAGCAUCUGGGAGUCUCUUUCCUUUAGGGCUGCUAAGCCAGGAGGAUGUCAGCCUGAAGCUGCUGGGAGAUAUCUUUGUCACUUGUGGAAAGGGCCCACCUUUAAAGAAGGUGCCACAGCAAAAAGCAGAGGCAGUGCUUGGAAAGGGGCAGAUUCCUGGUGAUAUUGCUUGAACCGCUAGAUCCAGCCAUGCCUGAAGCCUGUGACUGGACUCUGUGUCAGUCAACAAAUUUCCCUUUUACUUAUAAUACUCACAUUGGAUUUUGUUACUUAUAAUUUUGAAAAGUGGCAUCAACUGGGAAGGCUCUGUAAAUCACAAAGGGAACAGAAGAGCAUUCCAGAUGAAGGCUACUAUCUGAGCAAAUCCACCCCCAGCUUAAACUCUCUGAGGCUACAAUGGAGGUACCAGAUCUCCUGUAUACACAGGCCAAAUCCCUCCAUUUCCUGCUGA
rnacentral:lncRNA from 1 species